rnacentral:rRNA from 1 species
GACGAACGCUGGCGGCGUGCUUAACACAUGCAAGUCGAACGGAAAGACCCUGCUUUUGUGGGGUGCUCGAGUGGCGAACGGGUGAGUAACACGUGAGUAACCUGCCCUUGACUUUGGGAUAACUUCAGGAAACUGGGGCUAAUACCGGAUAGGAGCUCCUGCUGCAUGGUGGGGGUUGGAAAGUUUCGGCGGUUGGGGAUGGACUCGCGGCUUAUCAGCUUGUUGGUGGGGUAGUGGCUUACCAAGGCUUUGACGGGUAGCCGGCCUGAGAGGGUGACCGGCCACAUUGUGACUGAGAUACGGCCCAGACUCCUACGGGAGGCAGCAGUGGGGAAUAUUGCACAAUGGGCGGAAGCCUGAUGCAGCAACGCCGCGUGCGGGAUGACGGCCUUCGGGUUGUAAACCGCUUUCGCCUGUGACGAAGCGUGAGUGACGGUAAUGGGUAAAGAAGCACCGGCUAACUACGUG